AGGGGGCUUCCCCGGAGGAUGCCCGGCGGCGGCUCCCCGCUCCCAGGCGCGAGCUGAGCCGGACCGGGAGCGGGCGGCGCGUCGCCAUGCCGGCGUGACGGGCGCCCCCGGCUGCCCGCGCGGGCCCCCGCGCUGCCCCACGCCGCGCCGCGCCGGCGCCGGGCGGCAGGAUGGGCUGUAUCCAAAGCAUCACCUGCAAGGCGCGGAUCCGGCGCGAGAACAUCGUGGUGUACGAUGUGUGCGCCACCAUCGACCAGUGCCCCACGCGCAUCGAGGAGACCUCGCCCAUCGUCCUGCGCUACAAGACCCCCUACUUCAAAGCCUCGGCCCGCGUGGUCAUGCCCCCCAUCCCCCGCCACGAGACCUGGGUGGUGGGCUGGAUCCAGGCGUGCAACCAGAUGGAGUUCUUCAACACCUACAGCGACCUGGGCAUGUCAAGCUGGGAACUACCUGACUUGAGGGAAGGGAGAGUAAAAGCCAUCAGUGACUCAGAUGGGGUGAGCUACCCUUGGUACGGGAACACCACAGAAACUGUGACCCUGGUUGGUCCCACCAACAAGAUCUCCAGGUUCUCCGUCAGCAUGAAUGACAACUUCUACCCAAGUGUGACGUGGGCAGUGCCAGUGAGUGACAGCAAUGUGCCACUGCUCACAAGGAUCAAGAGGGACCAAAGUUUCACUACCUGGCUGGUGGCCAUGAACACCACCACGAAGGAGAAGAUCAUUCUGCAGACCAUCAAGUGGAGGAUGAGGGUGGACAUUGAGGUGGACCCUCUUCAGCUCUUGGGGCAACGGGCCCGGCUAGUGGGCAGGACUCAGCAGGAGCAGCCCCGGAUCCUGAGCCGGAUGGAGCCCAUCCCCCCUAAUGCACUAGUGAAACCCAAUGCCAACGAUGCCCAGGUCCUCAUGUGGAGACCCAAACGAGGGCCACCUCUGGUUGUGAUCCCUCCUAAGUAGAAGCAGACUGGCCUGACUGUGUGUGGAGCACAUGACGCUGAGACACGCAGUGAGGCUGCCAGGGGUGGCAGGAGCCAAACUGAGUUUCUGAGCCAAAGCAGACCUCUCGGUUUGCCAGCCUUUGCAGCCACUUGUGAAGAGUAGGGCUGCUUCUUGGGUGGUAGAACCAUAAUCCUUAGGAAAAUUCCCUUCCUUUUAGGAAUAAAGAAAUCGCUGAUUUGACAGACUUGCUGUGAUUACCAUGCAAGUAGCCAUAUUUUGGAGCUGACCAAGAUGAUUCUUUUAUCUGAACUAUUGACCAUUGCUUUCCUGCGAGAUGCAGGGGAUGGAAACAAAAUUAAACAGUGCCUGUGGCAAAUGCUGCUUCCCAACCAAUUAGAAGUGGGAGUGAAAACAUCCACACCAGGUGUUACCUAGUAGGACAAGGCACGUCCAUCAAGCAGAACCACAUGGCAGAGACUAAAGAGGAGGAAAGGAGCCAUGGCUGGUGGCUCUAAAACCUGAAGACCUGGACAGCUGAUUUCCCAUUAAAACGAAUGCCAUCCCAUGUGUCUCCUUGCCACCCUCCCAUCCCGUGACCUGUACCCCCUUCUGCCCCACCAUGUGCCAUACAGUGCUCCCCAUGGACUGGCUGAGCUGGCUGCUUGGCUCUCAGCAGGCUGUGCUCAAGUGGGAGCUUUACGGGCUGUAUCGUUUUGUGUGGCAGGAUUGGGUCCAUCCAGAUCUCAAGUCCAUCCCCAACCCUGAAGUUGAAGCUGCCCAGGGAGAAGAGCUGGUCAGCCUGGACCUAGACACCUAAAAUGGCUCAGCCUUGGUUCUCAAACUCCACCUUCCCUCCCUACACUUUUGGGUGGGAAACAGCAGGAAUGUGUAUCUCCCUUUCUCCUCCCGUCUCCACAUGGGUGGCCAGUGUUGAUACUCUGUCGAGAUUUCUCUGACCCUUGGAGCCAGGGCCAAAGCAGUCCUGCUUCCCCUGCACCACCAGGCUGAGUGUCUUCAGGUGACCAAGAGCAAAGUGUAUGUCAGCAGGAUCAGUGGGGUGGGGGAGAACCACCCUCGGAGGGCAAAAAUGGUGUGCAGUGUUUUAUUUGUUGGCUUAUUGAUCGGCUUGCUUACUGGUUGAUCGAAUUAUGAAAUAUGUUAUUUGUUAUACGGCAGAAAAUCCACUCCCACCUUUGAAGCAUCCAGCCCCAGAAUUUGUCUUCUUGGCCUCAUAGAGCACAGUGAGUUACUCCUCUCUGAAGCCACAGAAAGCAGGGCGGGGGGAGGGGAACUCUCUCCGUGCCCACUUUGCCCCCAACUAGAUUUUCAGCCAGAAAUGGGACCUGAAACCACCAGCUAGUGAGGUCACAAAGCCACACAAAUCAGCAGACGCUCAACUGUCCACAUACAAGCUUCUGGCAUCCCACCAUCUCCUCCCCUUUGUAACAGCCCUGCUUUCCUGCUCUGUGUGCGCAGGUGGGGGUGGCCAGUCAUCUGCAGCCUGGCCGCCUCAAAACUAGACUCAUUUUUCUGCUCUGGUGCCACUUUCUGAAUGCCACAUGCACACUAGAGAUGCCCGAGGAACAUCCAUACCUGGUCCCCUCCCCAACUCAUUACAGCAGCAUCUGGGGAUAGAGCCUGGGAGCAGGUGUUUUUAAAAGCCCGGAUGAUCCCAACGCAAGGCUAGGAUUGAAAAGCACUUCUAGUGUUUGUGUUUUUCCUUCCUUCGUCCCUCCCACCCACCCAC